UAGGGAAUUUUGGGCAAUGGGGGAAACCCUGACCCAGCAACGCCGCGUGAAGGAUGAAGUAUUUCGGUAUGUAAACUUCGAAAGAAUAGGAAGAAUAAAUGACGGUACUAUUUAUAAGGUCCGGCUAACUACGUGCCAGCAGCCGCGGUAAUACGUAGGGACCAAGCGUUGUUCGGAUUUACUGGGCGUAAAGGGCGCGUAGGCGGCGUGGUAAGUCACUUGUGAAAUCUCCGAGCUUAACUCGGAACGGUCAAGUGAUACUGCUGUGCUAGAGUACAGAAGGGGCAAUCGGAAUUCUUGGUGUAGCGGUGAAAUGCGUAGAUAUCAAGAGGAACACCUGAGGCGAAGGCGGGUUGCUGGGCUGAUACUGACGCUGAGGCGCGAAAGCUAGGGUAGCAAACAGGAUUAGAUACCCUCGUAGUCCCUGAGCGGGCUGGCAAGGCGCAU
rnacentral:rRNA from 1 species